UAAUUGAAGAGUUUGAUCAUGGCUCAGAUUGAACGCUGGCGGCAGGCCUAACACAUGCAAGUCGAGCGGCAGCACAGAGGAACUUGUUCCUUGGGUGGCGAGCGGCGGACGGGUGAGUAAUGCCUAGGAAAUUGCCCUGAUGUGGGGGAUAACCAUUGGAAACGAUGGCUAAUACCGCAUGAUGCCUACGGGCCAAAGAGGGGGACCUUCGGGCCUCUCGCGUCAGGAUAUGCCUAGGUGGGAUUAGCUAGUUGGUGAGGUAAUGGCUCACCAAGGCGACGAUCCCUAGCUGGUCUGAGAGGAUGAUCAGCCACACUGGAACUGAGACACGGUCCAGACUCCUACGGGAGGCAGAUCUUGAUUACCAAAGGUGGCGGCAUUCAUUUGCUGUAAUAACGGAUGCAAGCGCGGGCCAUUACCAGUAAUG
rnacentral:rRNA from 1 species